rnacentral:rRNA from 1 species
GAUGAACGCUGGCGGCGUGCCUAAUACAUGCAAGUCGAGCGAAUGGAUUAAGAGCUUGCUCUUAUGAAGUUAGCGGCGGACGGGUGAGUAACACGUGGGUAACCUGCCCAUAAGACUGGGAUAACUCCGGGAAACCGGGGCUAAUACCGGAUAACAUUUUGAACCGCAUGGUUCGAAAUUGAAAGGCGGCUUCGGCUGUCACUUAUGGAUGGACCCGAGUCGCAUUAGCUAGUUGGUGAGGUAACGGAUCACGAAGGCAACGAUGCGUAGCCGACCUUAGAGGGUGAUCUGCCCAGCUGGGACUAAGACCAUGCCGAGACUCCUACGGGAGGCAGCAGUAGGUGAUCUUCCGCAAUGGACGAAAGUCUGACGGAGCAACGUCGCGUGAGUGAUGAAGGCUUUCGGGUCGUAAAACUCUGUUGUUAGGGAAUAACAAGUGCUAGUUGAAUAAGCUGACACCUUGACGGUACCUAACCAGAAAGCCACGGCUAACUACGUGCCAGCCGCCGCCGUAA